rnacentral:rRNA from 1 species
AGCGAACGCUGGCGGCAGGCCUAACACAUGCAAGUCGAACGGACCCUUCGGGGUUAGUGGCGGACGGGUGAGUAACACGUGGGAACGUGCCUUUAGGUUCGGAGUAGCUCCUGGAAACGGGUGGUAAUGCCGAAUGUGCCCUUCGGGGGAAAGAUUUAUCGCCUUUAGAGCGGCCCGCGUCUGAUUAGCUAGUUGGUGAGGUAAUGGCUCACCAAGGCGACGAUCAGUAGCUGGUCGGAGAGGAUGACCAGCCACACUGGGACUGGGACACGGCCCAGACUCCGACGGGAGGCAGCAGUGGGGAAUCUUGCGCAAUGGGCGAAAGCCUGACGCAGCCAUGCCGCGUGAAUGAUGAAGGUCUUAGGAUUGUAAAAUUCUUUCACCGGGGACGAUAAUGACGGUACCCGGAGAAGAAGCCCCGGCUGACUUCGUGCCAGCCGCCGCCGUAA